rnacentral:misc_RNA from 1 species
GAUGAAGAACGCAGCGAAAUGCGAUAAGUAAUGUGAAUUGCAGAAUUCAGUGAAUCAUCGAAUCUUUGAACGCACAUUGCGCCCGCCAGUAUUCUGGCGGGCAUGCCUGUCCGAGCGUCAUUUCAACCCUCGAACCCCUCCGGGGGUACGGCGUUGGGGAUCGGCCCUUUACGGGGCCGGCCCCGAAAUACAGUGGCGGUCUCGCCGCAGCCUCUCCUGCGCAGUAGUUUGCACACUCGCAUCGGGAGCGCGGUGCGUCCACGUCCGUAAAACACCCAACUUCUGAAAUGUUGACCUCGGAUCAGGUAGGAAUACCCGCUGAACUUAAGCAUAUCAAUAAGCGGAGGA